GACGAACGCUGGCGGCGUGCCUAAUACAUGCAAGUUGAGCGAUGAAGCUUGGUGCUUGCGCCGAGUUGGAGAGCAGCGCACGGGUGAGUCACGCGUGUGGAAUCUGCCUUUGAGCGGGGGACAACAUUUGGAAACGAAUGCUAAUACCGCAUAACAACUUUAAACAUAAGUGUUAAGUGUGAAAGACGCAAUUGCAUCACUCAAAGAUGAUCCCGCGUUGUAUUAGGUAGGUGGUGAGGUAAAGGAGCACCAAGGCGAUGAUACAUAGCCGAACGGAGAGGGUGGGCGGCCAGAGUGGGAGGGAGACCGGGCCCAAAGGCCUAGGGGAGGCAGCAGGAGGGAUACGUGGGCAAUGGGCGAAAGACUGACCGAGAAACGCCGAGGGAGGGAAGAAGGUUUUCGGAUCGGAAAACUCGGUUGGUAGGGAAGAAAGUGGGUGAGAGUGGAACGCUCAGUAAGUGACGGUAACUACCCAGAAAGGGACGGCUAACUACGUG
rnacentral:rRNA from 1 species